GAAAAAAAAACUAUAAAAGGCAAACAACCUGCCGUUUUCUCGUUUGCAAACGUCGGAAAUUCAGUUUGGCCGCCAUUUUGUUUUUCUCUACUAGCAAGAUAUGAGCUAAUAUCCUGCUAGUAGAGAACCAAUCAGAUUGCAGAAUACCUCAUAUCCAGACCUUGUGUAUAUAAUAAUUAAUGUUAUUUUGAUCAAACUUGACAAGGCACUUUCAUGUAGAAAACAAAUUAACCACAAACUAGUAAAGCCACAAACUAUUAUGAGAAAAAUCAUAACAGAAACCUCGAAAGAAACAAUAUAAACAGUUUCCAUAUUUAUUUAUUUCACAAAUUAAAUAAUAGUUUAUAAGUCGCUGUAAAAGUAUAAAUCACAGAUUGUCCUUGACAAAGGCAAUCUGUGACUUAUAUAUACUCAUGAAUGCAGUAAAUGAUAUGACCGAUGGUGACUUUCUAACGUUGUCCUUUUAGGACGAAGAUGACGUCACGGAUUCAGCUAUGAUUGGUCCUUCAUUGCAGGAAUUUCAAAAACAUGGUGGGUGAUGAAAAACCGUGUUAUGUUACACUAAAUUGCUCAGGAUUAACAUUUAGGUUAUGUUUCUCGCGCGCGAACAUAAUUUAGUGUUAGAAUUAAAGGAAUAGGGUUGUGAUUGGAGUCAUGAUCAUGAUAAGCGUAUUCAUCCGGGUGGUAUCCUGGGGCGAGGGUAUACUAAUUCCGCUCGGUUAUUUACACCCACCCGGCGAAAAAAGGAGAUCGCUUAGCGGAGUCAAAAGUCCUUAAUGUUCUCGGGCGCGUGGCUGUGAUCCAAGGUUUCAUGGGGUGGACCUCUCAGUAAAAAUAUGGCAAAUGUCAGGAGUAGGAUUAGGGGCGGACCAUUAGAAAAGUGAUGAGGGGGUGGGGAAAAAACAAAAAUAAAAUUCGAGCAGGGAAAAUAGAAAGAAAAAAAAAAUUCGUGCACCAGAAAUGUCUGAAAAAAAAAUUCGUGCAGAGACUUUUCAAUAGGGAAAAUGUCAGGGCCUAUCGGAGGUACAGUGUAAGGGUGUCCCCGAAAUUUCGAAAAUAAGCGUUUUAAUCGUGUUUUAAGAAGUUUUUUCGGUGAAAAGGUUUUUUAAACCUUAAUUGAAAUGAUGUUAGUCCGCCCCCCCCCCUCGCUCGCCAGCAAUUUUUUUGGGGAAAAAAUAAAAUUCGAGCAAGGGAUUAUUAAAAAAAAAAAAUAACCGACACAGCAAAACAUUUUUGAAAAUAAUCAUUGCGUUGAAAUGGACCCCCAUCGCACUGUGGUCACUUUGCUUAGUAGAAUUUGAUCAAUGUGUAGCCUGAAGGCGGAAAAUUGUUUACUGCAUGCAGACGUACAGCUAUAAACAGUUAUAAUAGUCUUUUAAAACAAUUAAAAUUGUUUUUACAAUUUUGUACAAAAAAUAGAAAUAAUCGCGUUACACGGCAAAAAACGCGGAGCCCGCUGCUUAACAGGAUUGAACAAUGUUGUGCUGCCCACAUUGUUCACACUUGUCAACAAUAUUGAACAAUGUUGUUGAGCCUGAAUCGGGUGUAACAACAUUGUUCAAUAUUGUUGACAACUGUGAACAAUGUGGGCAGCAAAACAUUGUUCAAUCCUGUUUUCAUCAAUCAAUAUUGCAACAACCUGAGCGUUUUUACGCGUGUACCUGGCCACAGCAAAUACUUCUACUGCCGAUACUUCAUGUUUGAAAAAUAUANNNNNNNNNNNNNNNNNNNNAUAUAUAUAUAUAUAUAUAUAUAUAUAUAUAUAUAUAUAUAUAUAUAUAUAUAUAUAUAUAUAUAUAUAUAUAUAUAUAUAUAUAUAGUCGCCAAGAUGUGUAUUGACUGCUUGAAGUUUAAAUAUAUAUAUAUAUAUAUAUAUUAUUCAAUCCGUUCACGUGUUUUGUAGUUGAGAGGUCGAAAAAACGUGGUAAAAAUCCCGAUCGCGUUGGUGCAAACUUUGAUAGGAAAACUGAACUUAACAGUGAAUGGUAAGUCUAACAAUGUGCCAUUGAUUUUAGAAUAAAUAUUGUAUAUGGGCCAAUUCAAUCCAGUUCGUCCAGAUUUUUUUAAUAGACCUUAUGCAUGAUGACGUCACAAGGCUUGAUGCCCGCGAGGAAUGCUGGCCUUAGUAGUCAUCGCCCGGGAAAAUUUCGAUGGUGGCCAUUUUUAAUUGUUUAAUUUUCCCGGGCGAUGACUGCUAAGACCAGCAUUCCUCGCGGGCAUCAAGCUUUGUGACGUCAUUAUACAUAAGGUCUAUUGUGUCUAAUUCGAUCGCGACCAGCCUCGUCCCCAGGCUCCAACUCAGACGCGCUGGUUCGUGGCGCGACGCAAGGCAAUGGACGGGUCACGAAACGGCGCAGCAAAUGUAUGUAUGUAUGUAAAUCAAAGCGCCUGGGGACGAGGCUGGAUUGCGACUGACCAUGCACGGGAUUGACGAAUUUAGAACACUCCUGUUUGGUCCUGUAAUAAAAUAUUUGAACUAAGAGUAAUCUUUUUUUUAUUUCUUGUGGUUUACAUGGCGUAGCUACGUCGUUUAUUUAUUUAUUUAUUUAUUUA
rnacentral:lncRNA from 1 species